UGGUGGAGCGAUUUGUCUGGUUAAUUCCGUUAACGAACGAGACCUUAACCUGCUAAAUAGUCGCACUGGUCCAUCCGUCGAGUCCCGGUGAAGAGGCGAGAAGAAGGAGGGUAGGUCUUCCGGGAGGUCAGGGGCAACUCUGGCUUUUCGGCGGGCUUGCUUUUGCCUUUUCUUUCUCUUUGUCGGGCGGUCGGGCCGGUGUCUUUGGCUUCUUAGAGGGACUGUCAGCGCCCAGCUGACGGAGGCUUGAGGCAAUAACA
rnacentral:rRNA from 1 species